CGGCAUAAAGCCGUAGCAUUAGUAACAUAAGACAAACAGGGAAUGGAAAUGUCAGUUGUGGUGUGCCAGAACUGACGAGGUAGUAGGCCUGAAAUAAAAGAGGGCCUACCUUAUGAAGUGCUUAUAAAAGGAGGUGUGGUGGGUGGGAUAACUCGCCAGACCUAACAGGUAAUGAAGGAAGGGCUGGUGCUCCUUAAGAAGGGGAACCAAGCCCCUCCCACAACUUCAGGCCACGCCUUCCAUUUGUGGUCAUGGCAUAAAGUCGUAGCAUUAGUAACAUAAGACAAACAGGGAAUGGAAAUGUCAGUUGUGGUGUGCCGGAACUGACGAGGUAGUAGGCCUGAAAUAAAAGAGGGCAAAAAAGAUAUAAACCAGUCUAUUCAUCCUACAUAUACACAUAGCAUAUCACAUAUUCAUGGUCUUGAAUGCUAGACGCACCUCUUGUAUUGGCUGAGGGAUGUAUCUUGUGUAAGUCGUGGAUUUCAACCGGCCUAAUAUUUUAAUAAUGUGAGCCGGGAUAUUCUUCUUAGAAGCUGUAGUGGCGGCUCCUAUUCUAAAUGAGUGACCAGAGUAAUUUACUGGGUUUAAUCCUAAACGGACCAACAACAUCUUAACAUACACCAUGAAUUUACUCGUAGUAAGCUUAUUACCGUGUAAUGUAAGGAGUGGUUGUGUUGGUGCUAUUGUACAAGCGGAAAAAUAUUUGUCGAAAACUUCCACCGGACACCAAUGAUUAUUAGUGGGGUAAUAGGUGAUAGUGACCGUCUGUCCUUUGGCAGUAGUUUUGGUAUGGUGUAGGGAUAGCAGGUAGUGAUCUUGUACCUUCACCAGGUUUGACCUUGUGAUGAAGUUGGGGGAGUUAUCGUUAGUAGUGGUGAACUCUUUGGGCCGAAGAAAACCGUAAAAAGCCAAAUAGAUGGAUGCUUUAAUUAUACGGUUUGUAUGAGCUUCGAAUGGUGAGGUGUCUAGUAAAUUGGAUAGUGACUGAAACAAAACAUCGUGAAUGGGUAGUCUGGACAGUUAGGGUAUAGGGGUGGAGUCUUUAAUACCUUUAAGUAUGGCUUUAACUUGGUAGAAUGACAGAAAUUGUUGUCUAUUAGGCCAAGUUGUGAGGAUGUGAUGUUGAAUACCUGUGAUAUACAACUUAAUGGUAUUGUAUGAUAGUGUCAGAUGAAGGUGGCAAAAAGAAAUGAAUGUGAUGAUAGUCUCAAUAGAAAAUUGGUCAGUAACAUUAAAGUCCAGCAAGAAUUUAUUGAAAAUAUGAUAUGCUCUGCCAUAUGCUUUCCUGGUGUUAUCGGAAAGACCGAGUUGCGAACGUUGUUGCCCGUGAUAGAGCAGUUCCUUUAGUCCCAAACCAUUUCCUGCCACUGAGGUGCUGGAGUCGGUGUCAGGGUAGCUGUUGGUAGUGCUGCCCGGAACUCCUGAAACCAAGACCAUGAUAAGUCAUUAGCAGCGAUAUUGAGAACCCCAGACACAUGAAUGCAAGUUAAAAGAAAACUAUGUUUUGCACAUAGCCAAGUGAGAGUCCUCAUAAACCGCAUGAUAGCCAGGGAAGAGGAACGUCCCUUGUUUACAAUAUGGCACAUUGCCAUGUUCGCCGAGAGGCAUCAGAUUGCAAUAGGGGAAAUAGCCUAAGCAAACGGGAUAUGAACGCUCUCCCCUGUGGAAUUAUUUUCAUGGCGAAAUUUAGUGAACCCAACAGGGAUUGUAAUUCUUUCCUAUUACAAGAGCCACCUGCUAGGUAAAGAUCGAUGGCUGCCAGGAUGCGAUCAAUCUUCUCCCUGGGGAGGCUAGCCUGCAUAUGUACAGAGUCCAGCACCACCCCCAAGAAGUUGAUGAUCGUAUCUGGACCUUCAGUCUUUGUUGGCGAAACAGGUACUCCUAGUUGUGUGAACAGUCGUGUUAUGGACAGGAGGCUACUAGGAGAUACCACGUUCCUUUCUAUGGUCAGGAAAUCGUCCAGGUAAUGGAUCACGGUUGGGCAUUUACAGAUGUUAAGCAGAAUCCAGCACAACGUCUCAGCAAAUAUAUCAA
rnacentral:lncRNA from 1 species